AGCACAAAAGAAACUGUGAAUAUUACCUUGUAUGAAGCAUUGAGGCUGGAGGUGUGUGCUGCCAUUGAGGAGGCACCUUCGAGGGACUCUAGAUCAUGUAUGGGACACAUGGCACACAGUAAAACCACACCUCUGCAGAUCCUUUCACAGGUAAUAACCUUCCGUAUCUAGGAAUUUUUAUUUCUGGAGGCGAAAACUCUUUCAUGAAUGAUUGGGAGUAUAUGUAAUCGCAGGUUGGGGCAGGAGUGACAGUACUGGGGAUUGCUUACUUCAGUCUUUUCGUUGGGAAGAAGCCCACGGCUGUGCAUACAGCGGUUUAUAAGGAUAAAUCAGCCACAGAGUCGGAUAUCCUAUCUGCCCUUGCCCAGGAGACUAAAAAUACAAGCGGAAAGUACUGGAACGGCACUGAAGAAGAUACUGAGUCUUCCUAGCGCUUGAAUCGGGAUCAAACCUCUCUUCACACACGCCAAAGGAAUCAAGGAAGAUGGGGUCGACUCAAGUCUCUUCAGAGCUGCUGCUGCAGCGCAUGGGAGCAUCCCUGGUGUUCAUCCAACCAGCCAAGAAUGGGAAGCCACAUGGUCCUUCUUUGAUGGUGGAGCUGCAGUCAGGGACUGUGGGCAUGGCAGAGCACAGCAUGCCCCUGCAGGAACUGGGCGGCGGGCAGGGAAUGCCUGAGAAAAUCCUGGGCAUAAUUGGCCUUGCCAAGCUUGUCAGCUGCUCGGUGCUUGCUGUCAUCACACACGCAGAGAAGGUACCACUUUGGUCUCUGUUUCUGAAGAAAGAAAUAUGUCUGCAUUGGUACUCCUGAUCAGAUUUGUUUCUGAAGAAAGAAAGAUGUCUGCAUCGGCACUAUCGAUCAGUGAUGCAGGCUGAUCACAAGAUUAAAUUUAUGCAUCGUGAGACACUGUCUUUGCUGCAGGUGGCUGAAAUCCGGGGUCAUGCGGUCUACAAGGUGACGGGCACACGCCUGAUUGAGAGCGGAACCAGCCCUUCAAAGGACGAUCCAAAGU
rnacentral:lncRNA from 1 species